CUAUGCCUACGGGGGGCAGCAGUGAGGAAUAUUGGUCAAUGGGCUUACGCCUGAACCAGCCAAGUCGCGUGGGGGAAGACUGCCCUAUGGGUUGUAAACCUCUUUUGUCAGGGAGCAACGCCGGCUACUUGUAGCCGGACUGAGAGUACCAGAAGAAAAAGCAUCGGCUAACUCCGUGCCAGCCGCCGCGGUAAUACGGAGGAUGCGAGCGUUAUCCGGAUUUAUUGGGUUUAAAGGGUGCGUAGGCGGAAUGCCAAGUCAGCGGAAAAA
rnacentral:rRNA from 1 species